UUNAUCCUGGCUCAGAACGAACGCUGGCGGCGCGUUUAAGCAUGCAAGUCGAGGGGUAGAAAGUCUUCGGACUUUUGAGACCGGCGAACGGGUGAGUAACACGUAGAUAAUCUGUCUCUGGAUGGGGGAUAGCCCAUGGAAACAUGGGGUAAUACCGCAUAAGCUCUCUUUUUCAUAAGGAGGAGAGAGGAAAGGCGCUUAGGGGUCGUCCGGAGAGGAGUCUGCGGUUCAUUAGUUAGUUGGUGGGGUAAAGGCCUACCAAGGCGACGAUGAAUAGCCGGCCUGAGAGGGUGAACGGCCACACUGGGACUGAGACACGGCCCAGACUCCUACGGGAGGCAGCAGCUAAGAAUCUUCCGCAAUGGGCGAAAGCCUGACGGAGCGACGCCGCGUGAACGAAGAAGGCCUAACGGUUGUAAAGUUCUUUUCUUGGGGAGGAAUAAGCCUUGCAGGGAAUGGCAGGGUGAUGACGUUAACCGAGGAAAAAGCCCCGGCUAAUUACGUGCCAGCAGCCGCGGUAACACGUAAGGGGCGAGCGUUGUUCGGAAUUAUUGGGCGUAAAGGGCGCGUAGGCGGCAUAGCAAGUCAGGUGUGAAAGAUCUCAGCUCAACUGAGGAAACGCGCUUGAAACUGCUGUGCUGGAGUCUAGGAGGGGAAGCUGGAAUUCCUAGUGUAGGGGUGAAAUCUGUAGAUAUUAGGAAGAACACCGGUGGCGAAGGCGAGCUUCUGGCCAUAGACUGACGCUGAGGCGCGAAAGCGUGGGGAGCGAACAGGAUUAGAUACCCUGGUAGUCCACGCCGUAAACGAUGUGCACUGGGUGUCGGCCCGUUGGGGUCGGUGCCGAAGCUAACGCGAUAAGUGCACCGNCUGGGGAGUAUGCUCGCAAGGGUGAAACUCGAAAGAAUUGACGGGGGCCCGAACAAGCGGUGGAGCAUGUG
rnacentral:rRNA from 1 species